CCUACGGGAGGCAGCAGUGAGGAAUAUUGGUCAAUGGCCGGAAGGCUGAACCAGCCAAGCCGCGUGAAGGACGAAGGUGCCAAGCAUUGUAAACUUCUUUUGUCAAGGGACAAAAUCAGGCUCGAGAGCCUGACCGAGGGUACUUUAAGAACAAGCAUCGGCUAACUCGGUUCCAGCAGCCGCGGUAAUACGGAGGAUGCGAGCGUUAUCCGGAUUUAUUGGGUUUAAAGGGUGCGUAGGGGGGCUGUUAAGGCAGCGGUAAAAGCCCGGGGCUCAACCCCGGCGAGCCGUUGAAACUGGCUGUAUGGAGUGGUCGAGAGGUAUGCGGAAUGCGCAGUGUAGCGGUGAAAUGCGUAGAUAUUGCGCAGAACUCCGAUUGCGAAGGCAGCAUACCGGCGGCGAACUGACGCUGAGGCACGAAAGCGUGGGUAGCGAACAGGAUUAGAUACCCUAGUAGUC
rnacentral:rRNA from 1 species